GUUGCGGGAAGGUGGCUGGGAGCCGCCCCCCGCCCCACCUCCGCAGCCCCCUUCGGCCGAGAGGCCGCGAGGUUUCAGCUGGAGGUCCGCGAAGACGCGGGAUCUCGCGAGACACGCUAGUGCUGCUCAACCUGUGGAGGGCCUCUGGGAUGCACGGGGGUCCCUGGGCCGCGCGGGCUCUGUUCCCCGGGCCUUUCCUCGGCCUUUGCGCUGCGGGGUCUGCUUUCCGUCUGUGCCUCAGCCUCAGCCCGAGACACGGUCGCUUCCCCCUAGUCUAGACACGUGCUUUCCUAUCACAGAAGAAUGGAGGAAACAUGAACUAAUUUUGCCGUGCACCUAAACAGUGAACUUUAAUGGCCAUAGCAAAAGUCAGUUUGCAAGCAUUGGAAUAAAUCUUGAAAAGAAACAUUGUGCAACAUGGAUCCUCUAACAGAAGAAUAUUUUGUAAGUGGAAACCCUGGUGUGGAAGAACAGACCAAGGAAGAAACUGAAAAUAAUUCAGAGAAGCCAGUCAGUCAGCUGGACAAACAGAAAACGGAUAUAUCUACUGUCCCUGAGCCUGUUAACCCACUGGUAGAAGUAAAGAAGGUAUUAAAGGCAAUCAGUGCUCUUCCCAAAGGUGUGUUCCCUAACAUUGAAAAGUUCAUACAAGAAGACUUCUCCUUCCAUACUGUGCAGAGGGAAGUUACAACUAAUAGCCAAACUGGGGAAGAAAUUGCUCCUGCUUUAACAUUACAUGUUUUGAUAACACAACUGGAAACAGCACUUAGAAACAUUCAAGCUUCUAAUUAUACGGCAGAACAAAUUAAUGUUGGUUAUUACUUGACAUUACUGUUUUUGUAUGGAGUGGCACUAACUGAAAGAGGAAAGAAAGAGGACUGCAUAGAAGCUGAGAAUAAAUUUCUGGUGAUGAAGAUGGUGAUCCAAGAAAGUGAGAUGUGUGAAAACUUUAUGUGUUUAGUUUAUUUUGGACGUGGUUUACUUCGAUGUGCUCAGAAGAGAUAUAAUGGAGCACUACUAGAAUUUUACAAAAGCUUACAAGAAAUAGGAGAUACAGAUGAUAGUUGGUUUGAAGUAGAUCCUACAGAUGAUGAAGAUUUACCUACAACCUUCAAAGAUAGUCUUGAUAAUUUUAUCAAAACAACUGAAAGUAAUAUAACAAAAGAGACCAUUUGCAGUUAUCUUGAUUGUGAGCGUUCUUGUGAAGCUGACAUUUUAAAGAACACCAACUAUAAGGGAUUUUUUCAGCUAAUGUGCAGUAAAAGUUGCUGUAUUUACUUCCAUAAAAUUUGUUGGAAAAAGUUCAAGAACUUAAAGUAUCCAGGAGAAAGUGAUCAGAGUUUUAGUGGGCAAAAAUGUUUGAAAGACGGCUGUGCAGGUGACAUGGUAAGGAUGCUACAGUGUGAUGUUCCUGGAAUUGUCAAAAUAUUGUUUGAAGUGGUGAGAAAGGAUGAAUAUAUAACCAUUGAAAACUUAGGAGCAAGUUACAAGAAUUUGAUGUCUAUGGAAUUAACUGAUACUGAUAUUAGACCGAAAUUCAAUUUAAAAUCAGAUCCAAAAGAUGAAGUUCCUAUCUUCAAACUUGAUUAUAAUUAUUUCUAUCAUCUGCUUCAUAUAAUUAUUAUUUCUGGUACUGACAUUGUCCGGCAAAUAUUUGAUGAGGCUAUGCCACCCACCCUUUUGAAAAAAGAGCUGCUUAUACACAAG
rnacentral:lncRNA from 1 species